rnacentral:rRNA from 1 species
ACGGAGGGUGCAAGCGUUAUCCGGAUUUACUGGGUUUAAAGGGUGCGUAGGCGGGCAGGUAAGUCAGUGGUGAAAUCCCCGAGCUUAACUCGGGAACUGCCGUUGAUACUAUCUGUCUUGAAUAUCGUGGAGGUAAGCGGAAUAUGUCAUGUAGCGGUGAAAUGCUUAGAUAUGACAUAGAACACCAAUUGCGAAGGCAGCUUGCUACACGAUUAUUGACGCUGAGGCACGAAAGCGUGGGGAUCAAACAGGAUUAGAUACCCUGGUAGUCCACGCCCUAAACGAUGAUUACUCGACAUCAGCGAUACACUGUUGGUGUCUAAGCUAACGCAUUAAGUAAUCCACCUGGGAAGUACGAUCGCAAGAUUG